GGUGGUUGAUCGCGUCGAAAGUGUAAUCUUGGGGCUUAACCCUGAGCGUGCUUUCGAUACGGGUUGACUUGAGGAAGGUAGGGGAGAAUGGAAUUCCUGGUGGAGCGGUGGAAUGCGCAGAUAUCAGGAGGAACACCAGUGGCGAAGGCGGUUCUCUGGGCCUUUCCUGACGCUGAGGAGCGAAAGCGUGGGGAGCGAACAGGCUUAGAUACCCUGGUAGUCCACGCUGUAAACGGUGGGUACUAGGUGUGGGGUCCAUUCCACGGGUUCCGUGCCGUAGCUAACGCUUUAAGUACCCCGCCUGGGGAGUACGGCCGCAAGGCUAAAACUCAAAGGAAUUGACGGGGCCCCGCACAAGCGGCGGAGCAUGCGGAUUAAUUCGAUGCAACGCGUAGAACCUUACCUGGGUUUGACAUGGAUCGGGAGUGCUCAGAGAUGGGUGUGCCUCUUUUGGGGUCGGUUCACAGGUGGUGCAUGGCUGUCGUCAGCUCGUGUCGUGAGAUGUUGGGUUAAGUCCCGCAACGAGCGCAACCCUUGUUCACUGUUGCCAGCACGUUAUGGUGGGGACUCAGUGGAGACCGCCGGGGUCAACUCGGAGGAAGGUGGGGAUGACGUCAAGUCAUCAUGCCCCUUAUGUCCAGGGCUUCACGCAUGCUACAAUGGCUGGUACAGAGAGUGGCGAGCCUGUGAGGGUGAGCGAAUCUCGGAAAGCCGGUCUCAGUUCGGAUUGGGGUCUGCAACUCGACCUCAUGAAGUCGGAGUCGCUAGUAAUCGCAGAUCAGCAACGCUGCGGUGAAUACGUUCCCGGGGCUUGCACACACCGCCCGU
rnacentral:rRNA from 1 species